ensembl:lncRNA
GAUCAUAACCAUCUUUAUUAAAUGUGACCCUUUUGCACAUCAUGGCUGAAGUAAUACAUGAGCAGCAAAAGCUAGUCAAAAUCAGUUUUCAUUACCUCGGCCUAGAGGUCAUACACCACAAAACUGAACCGUUUUAAGCUCUAAUUGUGCUUCAUGUAGCUAUAGCACAGAAAUGUAACUGUUUGAGAUGCUCCGACAUCAUUCUGUGGUCCUGUAGUCACCCGUUCAGUCUACGCGAGAUCUUCAGGUCCUCACUUUAGUGAGAUGCUUUAAAGAAGAAUAUUGUCAAAAAUAAGAUAGUAACAUUGAACAUAAUAAAGGACUAUAAUAAAAUAGAUCUCUUUGAGCAGUUUCUUUUGUCCAAAAGACUCUGUACAAAUUUAGGGAACUGCCUGACUUGCCAGCAAUCGCAGACAAAAUAAGAGGACCUGUUGUAAAGCAAACCUAUUUUAUACACUCUAAAUUCAAACAAUGACUCAGGCAAAAAGACGACACAUCCACACAAACGGAGGUGACACCUUCAUACAUGACAUUUUUCCUGCGAAUGAAUUAAGUCUAAUAUUCACUGUAUAGCAUACACAUAAUCACGUUUGGUAUUACACUUGUAUAGUGUACAUACAUUAUUACCCAAACCCCCAAAGGAGCUGGGACUCUUCCAGGAAAUGGAAACUGUGCAGUGAUAUAGCAAUAUGUCACAAACUUCAACACACAGAAGACAAAAAUGUUGCUGUACUCAGAUCAAAAGUCACUCACACUGGAAAGUUUGAACACUUCUAACACAACUGCAACCACUGAGUAAAUCUGCUUGUUUAUCACUAUUGUAUUGUUGUAUCCAUAUGUGAUAUUUCAUUUGGCCAAGAAGGUGUGUGUAGAUAUUGAAUUAAAAAUCCGAAAAUUAAUUCCAAUCACAGAGUAUCUCUGGUGUAGCAUGGUAACACUACACUUAGCUUUCAUUUGUAAGGCGUGCAGGUGGAAAGGAUCUCUGAUUUUAACUUAAGGCUAUCCCCUUAGCUUCUGGUUCCAUAGUCUAAGCCUGCUAACUGGACAACCUAAAAAGCAUACCGAAUCAAGUUUUUGAAAUGUGUACUUCAUAUAUAAAUCUCAUUAUCUUCCAUU